UUGACCUCGGAUCANGUAGGACUACCCGCUGAACUUAAGCAUAUCAAUAAGCGGAGGAAAAGAAACCAACAGGGAUUGCCUUAGUAACGGCGAGUGAAGCGGCAACAGCUCAAAUUUGAAAUCUGGCUUCUGCCCGAAUUGUAAUUGGUAGAGGAUGCAUCGGAAACCGCGCUGCUCCAAGUCUGCUGGAACGCGGCGUCAUAGAGGGUGAGAAUCCCGUCGGAAUGGACGUGGUUUCCAUGUGAUGCUCCUUCGACGAGUCNAGUUGUUUGGGAAUGCAGCUCUAAAUGGGUGGUAUAUUUCAUCUAAAGCUAAAUACCGGCCAGAGACCGAUAGCGCACAAGUAGAGUGAUCGAAAGAUGAAAAGCACUUUGGAAAGAGAGUGAAACAGUACGUGAAAUUGUUGAAAGGGAAGCGCUUGCAGCCAGACUCGCUCGGGGCACUCAGCCCAUGGUGUAUUUGCCCUCGAGCGGGCCAGCAUCAGUUCGGGCGGUUGGACAAAGACCUUGGGAACGUAUUUCUCUACGGAGAUUGUUAUAGCCCGGGGUGUAAUGCAACCAGCCUGGACUGAGGACCGCGUUCGCUAGGAUGCUGGCGUAAUGGCUGUUAGCGACCCGUCUUGAAACACGG
rnacentral:rRNA from 1 species